rnacentral:rRNA from 1 species
GACGAACGCUGGCGGCGUACUUAACACAUGCAAGUCGAACGGUAAGGCUCCAGCUUGCUGGGGUACACGAGUGGCGAACGGGUGAGUAACACGUGGGUGACCUGCCCUGCACUUCGGGAUAAGCCUGGGAAACUGGGUCUAAUACCGGAUAGGACCGCACCGUGAGGGUGUGGUGGAAAGGUUUUUCGGUGUGGGAUGGGCCCGCGGCCUAUCAGCUUGUUGGUGGGGUAAUGGCCUACCAAGGCGGCGACGGGUAGCCGGCCUGAGAGGGUGGACGGCCACAUUGGGACUGAGACACGGCCCAGACUCCUACGGGAGGCAGCAGUGGGGAAUAUUGCACAAUGGGCGGAAGCCUGAUGCAGCGACGCCGCGUGGGGGAUGACGGCCUUCGGGUUGUAAACUCCUUUCACCAUCGACGAAGGGUUUCUGACGGUAGAUGGAGAAGAAGCACCGGCUAACUACGUG